CUCUCGCAGGAGCUCGGAUGGAAUUCGAAAGGCGGUCGACCGUCGUAGAAACUUAGAUGGAGUCUGGUUACUGUACAAAUCUCGUUGUCGGAGAAGCUCGGAUAUUGACGAAGUCCGGAAGAUGUUCGGAGUAGAGUCGUCCGUGGCCGGAAGAAGUCUGGAAGAGAUUCGGAGAAUAGUUGAUCACUAUAGAAAAUCAGCUGAUAGUGAAGCCCAGAGAGUAUUUGGAGCGGCUCGGUAGAUGAAUGGAGAAGCUCACUGUCGAAGAAGUCCGGAUGUUGUUAUGGA
rnacentral:lncRNA from 1 species